rnacentral:tRNA from 1 species
GACGAGGUGGCCGAAUGGUUAAGGCGUUGGACUGCUAAUCCAAUGGGGUCUCCCCGCGUGAGUUCGAAUCUCAUCCUCGUCG